ACAGAGGGUGCAAGCGUUAAUCGGAAUUACUGGGCGUAAAGCGCACGUAGGUGGCUUGGUAAGUUGGAUGUGAAAUCCCCGGGCUUAACUUGGGAAUUGCAUUCAAGACUGCCUUGCUAGAGUGUGGAAGAGGGAAGCGGAAUUCCAGGUGUAGCGGUGAAAUGCGUAGAUAUCGGAAGGAACACCAGUGGCGAAAGCGGCUUCCUGGUCCAGCACCGACGUUCAGGCACGAAAGCGUGGGGAGCAAACAGGA
rnacentral:rRNA from 1 species